GAACCGGUAGUUUAGCCCGGAAGAAUGCGGGACUGUCACUCCCGUGGCCCGGGUUCAAAUCCCGGCCGGGGCGCCA
rnacentral:tRNA from 1 species